rnacentral:lncRNA from 1 species
CACCACUGCAGCAGUGUUCAGAGGUUACGCCCAGAGAGGAAAGUGGAUCCUGAGGGCACUGACCUCAUCAAUGAAUUAAUUGAAUUAGCUUUUGGGGGUGGGGCCCAGUUGGAAGGGGUAGGUCGUGGUGGGGGAGGGUCCUAUAUCCUGUACCCAGUUUUCUUCUUUACAUUGCUAUCUCUGCUUCCUGCCACCAUCAGGAUAGUGGCUUUUCUCUGCCAUGCCCUUCUGCCAGGUUUCUGCUUUGGAGCCAGCUGACCAGAUAUACAACUUUUGAAACAGUGAGCCAAAAUAAACCUUUUGACUUUUGAGCUGUACAUGUCAGGUAUUUUGUUCCAGUGAUGAAAAAGCUGAUCAAUACAGGGAUGCAGGGAAUGGACAGCAGAUCUCUUCUCUGGCAUCAUAUUGAUGCUUUGAAUGUAAAAGAUGGCUCCUCAGCUUUCACAUCCAGGCUGUCAGAUUCACCACCAGAGCAGCCCCAAGGUGGCGAUGUUGCACUGGUUGUAUCAUGGCUUGGAAAUGCUGGUUUUGGAGAGCUACUAGUGCAGAGCUAUCCACCUGGUGAACCUGCUUGCUUUGCUUAAAUUACAGAAGGUAGACAAUUAUAUGGCUCUACCUCCUGGAUAACUGUAGUGGUGAGUAUUGAAGGGUUGUAUACAGCACUGAGGAGCUGUGUGGGCUGUUUGUUAUGCUUCUGUCUUCAGAAUGAGCUCUGAGUUCACUGGAUAACACAUCUUCAAGCCCCUAUGGCUCAAAGUAAUGAAG